AGCAGAGAUGCUUUGGUGCCUUCGGGAACUCUGAGACAGGUGCUGCAUGGCUGUCGUCAGCUCGUGUUGUGAAAUGUUGGUUAAGUCCCGCAACGAGCGCAACCCUUAUCCUUUGUUGCCAGCGGCUCGGCCGGGAACUCAAAGGAGACUGCCGGUGAUAAACCGGAGGAAGGUGGGGAUGACGUCAAGUCAUCAUGGCCCUUACGGCCAGGGCUACACACGUGCUACAAUGGCGCAUACAAAGAGAAGCGACCUCGCGAGAGCAAGCGGACCUCAUAAAGUGCGUCGUAGUCCGGAUUGGAGUCUGCAACUCGACUCCAUGAAGUCGGAAUCGCUAGUAAUCGUAGAUCAGAAUGCUACGGUGAAUACGUUCCCGGGCCUUGUACACACCGCCCGUCACACCAUGGGAGUGGGUUGCAAAAGAAGUAGGUAGCUUAACCUUCGGGAGGGCGCUCACCACUUUGUGAUUCAUGACUGGGGUGAAGUCGUAACAAGGUAGGCGUAGCGAG
rnacentral:rRNA from 1 species